CCGCAAGGUUAAAACUCAAAUGAAUUGACGGGGGCCCGCACAAGCAGUGGAGCAUGUGGUUUAAUUCGAUGCAACGCGAAGAACCUUACCAGGCCUUGACAUCCUCGGAACUUUCUAGAGAUAGAUUGGUGCCUUCGGGAACCGAGUGACAGGUGCUGCAUGGCUGUCGUCAGCUCGUGUCGUGAGAUGUUGGGUUAAGUUCCCGUAACGAGCGCAACCCUUGUCCUUAGUUGCCAGCACAUAAUGGUGGGAACUCUAAGGAGACUGCCGGUGACAAACCGGAGGAAGGUGGGGACGACGUCAAGUCAUCAUGGCCCUUACGGCCUGGGCUACACACGUGCUACAAUGGCUAGGACAGACGGCCGCAAACCCGCGAGGGGGAGCCAAUCCGACAAACCUAGUCGUAGUCCGGAUCAGAGUCUGCAACUCGACUCCGUGAAGUCGGAAUUGCUAGUAAUCGCGAAUCAGAAUGUCGCGGUGAAUACGUUCCCGGGCCUUGUACACACCGCCCGUCACACCAUGGGAGUGGGUUGCUCCAGAAGUGGUUAGUCUAACCUUCGGGAGGACGAUCACCACGGAGUGAUUCAUGACUGGGGUGAAGUCGUAACAAGGUAGCCCUAGGGGAACCUGCGGCUGGAUCACCUCCUU
rnacentral:rRNA from 1 species